rfam:Pristionchus pacificus strain PS312 contig6999, whole genome shotgun sequence.
UCUUCAUUCCGCGCACUCUCUCACCGGUCAGAGUGACGAGAGAGUGUGAGAAAUGAAGAGA